UAGGGAAUUUUCCGCAAUGGACGACAGUCUGACGGAGCAACGCCGCGUGAGUGAAGAAGGAUUUUGGUUUGUAAAACUCUGUUGUUAGGGAAGAAAAAAUGUAUAGUAACUAUAUACAAAAGAGACGGUACCUAACCAGAAAGCCACGGCAAACUACGUGCCAGAAGCGGUGGUAAUACGUAGGUGGCAAGCGUUGUCCGGAAUUAUGGGGGGUAAAGCGCGCGAAGGUGGUUUAGAAAGUCUGAUGUGAAAGCCCACGGCUCAACCGUGGAGGGUCAUUGGAAACUAAUAAACUUGAGUGCAGGAGAGGAAGGUGGAAUUCCAGGGGUAGCGGUGAAAUGCGUAGAGAUUAGGAGGAACACCGGUGGCAAAAGCGGCUUUUUGGCCUGCAACUGACACUGAGGGGCGAAAGCGUGGGGGGCAAACGGG
rnacentral:rRNA from 1 species